rnacentral:rRNA from 1 species
AUCCUGGCUCAGGACGAACGCUGGCGGCGUGCCUAACACAUGCAAGUCGAACGGAGAAUUUUAUUUCGGUAGAAUUCUUAGUGGCGAACGGGUGAGUAACGCGUAGGCAACCUACCCUUUAGACGGGGACAACAUUCCGAAAGGAGUGCUAAUACCGGAUGUGAUCAUCGUGCCGCAUGGCAGGAUGAAGAAAGAUGGCCUCUACAAGUAAGCUAUCGCUAAAGGAUGGGCCUGCGUCUGAUUAGCUAGUUGGUAGUGUAACGGACUACCAAGGCGAUGAUCAGUAGCCGGUCUGAGAGGAUGAACGGCCACAUUGGGACUGAGACACGGCCCAAACUCCUACGGGAGGCAGCAGUGGGGAAUCUUCCGCAAUGGACGAAAGUCUGACGGAGCAACGCCGCGUGAGUGAUGAAGGAUUUCGGUCUGUAAAGCUCUGUUGUUUAUGACGAACGUGCAGUGUGUGAACAAUGCAUUGCAAUGACGGUAGUAAACGAGGAAGCCACGGCUAACUACGUGCCAGCAGCCGCGGUAAUACGUAGGUGGCGAGCGUUGUCCGGAAUUAUUGGGCGUAAAGAGCAUGUAGGCGGCUUAAUAAGUCGAGCGUGAAAAUGCGGGGCUCAACCCCGUAUGGCGCUGGAAACUGUUAGGCUUGAGUGCAGGAGAGGAAAGGGGAAUUCCCAGUGUAGCGGUGAAAUGCGUAGAUAUUGGGAGGAACACCAGUGGCGAAGGCGCCUUUCUGGACUGUGUCUGACGCUGAGAUGCGAAAGCCAGGGUAGCGAACGGGAUUAGAUACCCCGGUAGGCCUGGCCGUAAACGAUGGGUACUAGGUGUAGGAGGUAUCGACCCCUUCUGUGCCGGAGUUAACGCAAUAAGUACCCCGCCUGGGGAGUACGGCCGCAAGGUUGAAACUCAAAGGAAUUGACGGGGGCCCGCAC